GUAGGUGAACCUGCGGAAGGAUCAUUAUUGAAUAAACUUGGUUGGGGUUGUUGCUGGCUCCUUAGGAGCAUGUGUGCACACCCCACACCAUUUUUUUCUUAAACCACCUGUGCACUUUUUGUAGAUUCCUAAGAUACUUGAGAAUUUCUAUUGGUUUUCUCAUACAUCCCUGGGGGUCUAUGUUUCCUAUACACACCAAUAUGUAUUUGAAUGUUGUAUUAAUAGGCUCUUUGUGCCUUUAAAAACAAUAAAACAACUUUCAACAACGGAUCUCUUGGCUCUC
rnacentral:misc_RNA from 1 species